rnacentral:rRNA from 1 species
GUGUCAGCCGCCGCGGUAAUACGUAGGGGGCGAGCGUUAUCCGAAGUUACUGGGCGUAAAGCGCGCGUAGGCGGGCUAUUAAGUCGGAUGUGAAAUCUCCACGGCUCAACCGGGAAACAGCAUCCGAAACUGGUAGCCUUGAGGUAUGGAGAGGGAAGUGGAAUUCCAGGUGUAGCGGUGAAAUGCGUAGAUAUCUGGAGGAACACCCGUGGCGAAGGCGGCUUCCUGGCCAUAUCCUGACGCUGAGGUGCGAAAGCCAGGGGAGCGAACGGGAUUAGAUACCCGUGUAGUCC